GUAUAGGAUCUACCUAGUAGUACGGAAUAAUUGUUGGAAACGGCAACUAAUACCGUAUACGCCCUACGGGGGAAAAAUUUAUUGCUAUUAGAUGAGCCUAUAUUAGAUUAGCUAGUUGGUGGAGUAAUAGCCUACCAAGGCAAUGAUCUAUAGCUGAUCUGAGAGGAUGAUCAGCCACACUGGAACUGAGAUACGGUCCAGACUCCUACGGGAGGCAGCAGUGGGGAAUAUUGGACAAUGGGCGAAAGCCUGAUCCAGCCAUGCCGCAUGAGUGAAGAAGGCCUUUGGGUUGUAAAGCUCUUUUAGUGAGGAAGAUAAUGACGGUACUCACAGAANAAGUCCUGGCUAACUCCGUGCCAGCAGCCGCGGUAAUACGGAGAGGGCUAGCGUUAUUCGGAAUUAUUGGGCGUAAAGGGCGCGUAGGCUGGUUAAUAA
rnacentral:rRNA from 1 species